AGAGUUUGAUCAUGGCUCAGAUUGAACGCUGGCGGCAGGCCUAACACAUGCAAGUCGAGCGGUAGCACAGAGAGCUUGCUCUCGGGUGACGAGCGGCGGACGGGUGAGUAAUGUCUGGGAAACUGCCUGAUGGAGGGGGAUAACUACUGGAAACGGUAGCUAAUACCGCAUAAUGUCGCAAGACCAAAGUGGGGGACCUUCGGACCUCAUGCCAUCAGAUGUGCCCAGAUGGGAUUAGCUAGUAGGUGGGGUAACGGCUCACCUAGGCGACGAUCCCUAGCUGGUCUGAGAGGAUGACCAGCCACACUGGAACUGAGACACGGUCCAGACUCCUACGGGAGGCAGCAGUGGGGAAUAUUGCACAAUGGGCGCAAGCCUGAUGCAGCCAUGCCGCGUGUGUGAAGAAGGCCUUCGGGUUGUAAAGCACUUUCAGCGGGGAGGAAGGCGGUGAGGUUAAUAACCUCAUCGAUUGACGUUACCCGCAGAAGAAGCACCGGCUAACUCCGUGCCAGCAGCCGCGGUAAUACGGAGGGUGCAAGCGUUAAUCGGAAUUACUGGGCGUAAAGCGCACGCAGGCGGUCUGUCAAGUCGGAUGUGAAAUCCCCGGGCUCAACCUGGGAACUGCAUUCGAAACUGGCAGGCUAGAGUCUUGUAGAGGGGGGUAGAAUUCCAGGUGUAGCGGUGAAAUGCGUAGAGAUCUGGAGGAAUACCGGUGGCGAAGGCGGCCCCCUGGACAAAGACUGACGCUCAGGUGCGAAAGCGUGGGGAGCAAACAGGAUUAGAUACCCUGGUAGUCCACGCCGUAAACGAUGUCGAUUUGGAGGUUGUGCCCUUGAGGCGUGGCUUCCGGAGCUAACGCGUUAAAUCGACCGCCUGGGGAGUACGGCCGCAAGGUUAAAACUCAAAUGAAUUGACGGGGGCCCGCACAAGCGGUGGAGCAUGUGGUUUAAUUCGAUGCAACGCGAAGAACCUUACCUGGUCUUGACAUCCACAGAACUUUCCAGAGAUGGAUUGGUGCCUUCGGGAACUGUGAGACAGGUGCUGCAUGGCUGUCGUCAGCUCGUGUUGUGAAAUGUUGGGUUAAGUCCCGCAACGAGCGCAACCCUUA
rnacentral:rRNA from 1 species